rnacentral:misc_RNA from 1 species
CUGCUUCUCUCUCUGCACAAGCUCGAGUCUCUCUUCACUAACGUUCUGCACGCCGUGUCGCCUUCCGUGCCCUCGAAGGGGGCACACCGUGUCUUUGGCCCUCCUCCCCAUCUGCUCACUGGCUGGAAAAGCACGUGCUACCCGCUCCUGCUUCCAUCGAAGAAGCGCCGGGGCACACACCUGCGUGCGUGUCUUUCGCUUAGCGAGAGGGAGGAGGCGUGCGUGCGCACGCGCACCGUGACACGCACGGACGCGCAUACGGCGCGCAUCACGAGUGCUGGUGCGUAGCGCAACAGAAAUCGCCGAGAAGAGAAGGGGAGGGAGGGGGCGCUGUCGCGACUUUCUUCGCGCCAUCCCCUCCGCCAUUUCUCUGAGAGCCAUGCGCUACCGGCAAUGCCAGCACCACUUCACCGACAGGGAUCAGCAGGCCAAGGCGCUCAUCAACUGCAAUGACGUGCUGAGCACGAGUGAGCAGGAGGAGGUCAUCGCCUACUUUGCCCGCUCCCUGCGGGGCAGUGCGCAGCUAUUAAAGGUUGUUGUCUGCCUCCAGGCGAUGCUGGCGUUGGUGUACACGCUCCUCCUGCUGAGCGGCUCCUUGCUGAUCGACGUGUCCGUCGAUAUGGCAGCGGCCGCGAGUCUCGUACAGCUAGCCCAGCAACACAAGCAAGGCUCACCGGAGCCAGCGACAGCUGCGCUGGAGUUGACAGCACCGUCACAAACUCUUGUCGAAGCGCUGGCGGCGCUGGACGCGGAGCAGCGUGCCGCACAGCGCAAGUACGUGCAUGAGUACAUGAACCGCCGCACGGCCGCCGGGGUCAACGUGCGAUCCGGCGGAGCGGUGACACUCCUCUCCGCCUUGGUGGUGCUCUACAGCAUUGCGCUGCUGUUGUGGGCGGGGUACAGCUGCUACGUGGCGUGUCGCCGACUUACUGUAAACGUCGAGGACCUCACACGGACGGAGCCCCGGGACCUGCAUAGGCGCCGCCCCGAGGAGGGCCCUUCAGCCGAAGCGCCGGCCGCGAAGCCGCGGGGCGCCCUCCGCCACCUGCGCCGGCGUGUCAAGACGGAUCCGGCGGUUGCCCUGUACGCCGCAGCAGCCUUUGCCAGCCUUGGCUCGCUGUUCUGGGUGGCCGCCUUGGUGCAUCGCCAGCGCACCACACAGAGAGCCUACGCGGAUCUUGGGCUGCAGCCGCCGUCGGUGCUAUCGCUGCAGAGCAUCACCAACGCGGCGCUCGAGUACGUGCUGGCCGUGUGGCAGCCACUCUUCCACCUUGGUAUUGGGCUGCUGGUGCGCUCGAUGCUCGACACCCGAGACAACUUGGUGGCCCUGUCGAAGCUCAAGUACCGUUUCGAAAAGGUAUGAGACGGCGCUGCAAUGUGGAGGAGAUGGAAGCAGGGGGAGAGUGUAAAGAGAAUGGGAAGUAGGGAAGGCGAGGGAGGAGGGGGGCGACUACGGCGGGGCGGCAAGAGCAAGCGAUGGAAGCUGUGACGUGGAGGAUGCGCGACAGCGUGUACGUGCGUCGAAUGUUUGUCCCUCACACGCCGCAGUCCCAGGCUGCUACUCUGUACCACCCCCACAUUCCCACGCCCUCUCACGCUCUGCUGACCGUUCUCCCUGCGUGUGCGCGUGCGUCUGUCCGUCUGUACGCGCGUGCACAGGCUCCUCUCCAUCACCUCUCUGGUCGGCUGUCUGUCUGCCUGCCUGCCCCGCUCGUUAUCGUUGCUGCUGCUCCUGACGCAUCUGCGCUCACCAUCGGGUGCCAGAACGCCUCUGCGCGUGUCUGCACCUGGGGCUGGGUCUCUGUGUGUCUGCGUAGGCUGCGGUUUACGGGGAUAUACACGUACAUACAUAUUUAUCGUCUUUGCUGUUGUCGUCGUCACAUGCCCGACCCGCGCAUC